rnacentral:lncRNA from 1 species
GUGUGUGAUGCCCGCAAUCUGGUGGCUGGAGCAGCCGAUAAAGAAGAGCGGCAGGCUGAAGAAGAGGCACAGCAGCAUCCCCAGCAGGCAAAGGGCACCGCAUCCCACAGGGCCCAGGUGGAGCCGCUUGACCAGGACGCCACCCACCACGAUGCCCACGAUGACCGAAGGGAAGGAGAGGCAGCCGAUGAGCAGGUUGGCGUAGGAGGCUGUGAUGGAAAACUGGCGCUCCAGGAACUUGGGCAGGAAGGUGGCCAUGCCCGCAGCCAUGGAUGACAAGCAUACCUGGGACAGGACCACCAGCAGGAAGAUGGGGUGGCGUAGGGUCUGCAGCAGCACCCUGGGGAAGACUG